CAAUUUGGCAACACCCCGAGCAAAAGUUACAUCAAAAUUGACAACAGUUCAGCUAAGUCGGAACUUUCCCGAACUUUAUUGUUGCACUUGUUUUCAAUUUCACACAUUUCGAUGCUUCUUCCAACUCAGAAGAUGCGUAAAAUAUAAUGUUAUCUUAAGAAAAUAAAAUAUGUUGCAAGUAUUGAGGAAUCGAUGUAUGCAAUUGGUGAGUACGUGCAAGAAUCGAGUUUCCACUGCAGUUACUGGACGCUCUAAGUUGGAAGGAGCAUCUAAAGAUAAUUCCAAGGGAUGAUGAUAGCCACCUUUGGGCAAAACGAAAGGAUCACAGCGACUUAUAGAAAAUAACGGAACGUCAUCCAAAAAUAUUUCGAACUUAUUACGGAGACUAUCCCACAGACAUCCAGAUCAGAAAGAUCAUUAGGGGAUUCAUGAAUAUUAUCUCGAGUUGAGCAAAAUCGCCAAUAGCAACAGUACUCUUUGACGUCUUAGUAAGAUCAGUUUAAAAACAAAUGAGUACUUUUCCAGAAAUUUUAUUUAAAUAAUCAUUUCUCAUAAGUUUCAAAGUUGCUCCCUAAGAUUUUAGACAUAAAAACAUUUGGCUUAUCCAAGUUUCUGAGAAAACCAACAUUUCAUAAUCGCAGUUUGAGCUGUAGGGCUCAGUGGAGGGGAUAGACAGUUGCGCAAUAUUGUUUCAAGUUCUCGAACAAAAGCACCUCGACCUCGACCAAAGUGAUGAGUUUAAGAGUAAGUCAAAGCAAUCAGCCGAAACAUCUAUUUAACAGAAAGAUAAAUUCAUAUUAAUGGACUUGGCAAUGCGGACUAUAUUUAAAACAAAGAAAUCGGUUAUAUUAAUCACGGAAUACAAAGAAAUUGUUCUGAAUGUGGAUAGAAGAAAGGCCUGUACCGCAACCAAAGAAGGGUAGUCAUUAUCCUGAGCCCCUGUACUAUGCAAUCUUUUCAAUUUGUCUUCAAAACAUAAACGUGGAGACCUCACCAAAAAAAAAAA